AAGACUAUACUUUCAGGGAUCAUUUCUAUAGUAUGUGACUAGAGAAGUUUUUCUGAUCCUGUAGAGCACCCAAAGUUAUGAGGAGGAGCCAGAGCGUCCUCUCCUGAGUGUGAAGCCAGCACUAGGUAUCACUUCUGUGACAGCCUCUUGCCACUGAUGAGCGUUCUUCCCUUCCUUUGGAAGGGAUAGAGGAAAAAAACCCAAAAAAAC